GGUCCUGUGACCCAAUGGAUAAGGCGCCUGACUACGAAUCAGGAGAUUCCAGGUUCGAGUCCUGGCAGGAUCG
rfam:Ciona savignyi cont_33108, whole genome shotgun sequence.